rnacentral:rRNA from 1 species
UCCCAGCGGUCCAAGUCGCAGCCACAAUUAUUGGGUCUAAAAUAUCCGUAGCUUGCUUUGCAAGUCUCUUGUGAAAUCGGGCAUCUUGAGUGUCCGGCGUGCAAGAGAUACUGCUUAGCUAGAGACCGGGAGACGUAAGAAGUACGUUAAGAGUAGCGGUAAAAUGCGUUGAUCCUUAAUGGACUAACAACAGCGAAGGCAUCUUACGAGAACGGAUCUGACAGUGAGGGAUGAAGGCUAGGGGC